rnacentral:lncRNA from 1 species
AGACAUUUAUCGGUUUCAUCUUAGUACAUCUAGUCCAAAAGCAUGAUAUGUUCUUUAAAUAAGAGCAAUUUUUUUUUAUUUAAUUUCAGGCUCGGCGCCCGUCACGAAGGAGACAACCGUCAAGAUCGAAUCAAAUGAGCCAAGAACGACCGUUGAUGUCGUUGAUGCAGCAACAGCGAGAAAACGAGUCGAGCCGGCGUUACCGCGGCGUCGGAAAAACCCGGAACUGGCUUAUAAACACGACACAUCGCUUCAUUUCGACGAUGAACGAGGAACGGGACAAAGUCCCCAACGAUAUCUCCGCCAUCACUUCCGAACGAGCACGAAAACACGAACGUACAAAUGGCCCUGCUUCAGCAGCGUUCAGGAACGCAGUAGCGAAGAUCAGCACAGAGUACAGACUGCAGUUUGCCUGGCCGAGAGAGGGCGAGGAACAUUUGUCCAAUGGGAAGCCGCCGGCUGGCAUGGUCGUCCCCGAACCAGGACUCGGCCCCCCGCGAAAAUCCAUCUCCAUGGGAACCAUCAAGGCCAACCAAUCAAACAUAGCGCCCGUUCAUAGGAAAAAGAACGCCGAAGUCGAUAGGAAAGACGGACAAUCAGAAGCAGAACCACCAGUGACUGAAAGUAAAAAUGAAGAUUUAAGGGAAUACAAAACUGAGUACAAGAAAAAGUUUCGUCCGUUCUCUCAUUAUGAUUACGUUGGAGGUCGUUUCCUUCAAAAGGAAGCAUCUGAUGAAAAACAAACUGAAGUUAGCAUUCCCACUGACUCAACAUGGUACAAGGAGGUUUUAGAGUUAAGACAGAAAGCAGAUGAAUACAAGCACCGAGGAUGGGGCGUGGAGUUAUUGAAUGAAUCAGAAACAGAUAGCAGGCACCUAUGGGAGCAAGUACAGUGUCGCAGCUCUCUCUUAGCCUUGUCAUUAGCAUCAACGACUCCAAGAUCUGGUGUAAAAGAAGAGAAAGCUCCCAAAAAAGUUUGGCCCACAAGAACGGCAUGGUCAAGAACAACCACACCACAUCAACGUGAUAGAUCUGUUACCCAUAAUAAGGAGGAAAGGAGUCAAUCCAGAGUGCGAGGAACUAGGGAUAAUGCUGCCAAAUUACAUAUUCGCUCAGCAGCAGGUCGCUCAAAAUCUGUCGAUCCAGGUAUUAGUGAACAAAAUCUCCAAGGAAAACACCUCGUUCCCCAGUACCACAAGCAAAUGCCAAACAUGCGAAACCUCAUACAGAAGCCAAACGUCCAAGUAAGUUUAUCACUUCUCCGCCACUGUUAA